rnacentral:rRNA from 1 species
GACGAACGCUGGCGGCGUGCUUAACACAUGCAAGUCGAACGGAAAGGCCCUGCUUGCCGGGUGCUCGAGUGGCGAACGGGUGAGUAACACGUGGGUGAUCUGCCCCUUACUUUGGGAUAAGCCUGGGAAACUGGGUCUAAUACUGGAUAGGACCAUGCUGUAGGUGGCGUGGUGGAAAGAUUAGUUUCGGUAAGGGAUGAGCUCGCGGCCUAUCAGCUUGUUGGUGGGGUAAUGGCCUACCAAGGCGUCGACGGGUAGCCGGCCUGAGAGGGUGGACGGCCACAUUGGGACUGAGAUACGGCCCAGACUCCUACGGGAGGCAGCAGUGGGGAAUAUUGCACAAUGGGCGCAAGCCUGAUGCAGCGACGCCGCGUGGGGGAUGACGGCCUUCGGGUUGUAAACUCCUUUCAGCCAUGACGAAGCCCUUGUGGUGACGGUAGUGGUAGAAGAAGCACCGGCUAACUACGUG